rnacentral:rRNA from 1 species
UCUGGUUGAUCCUGCCAGUAGUUAUAUGCUUGUCUCAAAGAUUAAGCCAUGCAUGUCUAAGUACACACGAAUUAAAAGUGAAACCGCAAAAGGCUCAUUAUAUCAGUUAUGGUUCCUUAGAUCGUUAACAGUUACUUGGAUAACUGUGGUAAUUCUAGAGCUAAUACAUGCAAUUAAAACACGGACCUUAUGGGACGUGUGCUUUUAUUAGGCUAAAACCAAGCGAUCGCAAGAUCGUUACAUUGGUUGAAUUCUAGAUAACAUGCAGAUCGUAUGGUUUAGUACCGACGACAGAUCUUUCAAAUGUCUGCCCUAUCAACUUUUGAUGGUAGUAUCUAGGACUACCAUGGUUGCAACGGGUAACGGGGAAUCAGGGUUCGAUUCCGGAGAGGGAGCCUGAGAAACGGCUACCACAUCUAAGGAAGGCAGCAGGCGCGUAAAUUACCCACUCCCAGCUCGGGAGGUACACUUUAAAUCCUUUAACAAGGACCAAUUGGAGGGCAAGUCUGGUGCCAGCAGCCGCGGUAAUUCCAGCUCCAAUAGCGUAUAUUAAAGUUGUUGCGGUUAAAACGUUCGUAGUUGAACUUGUGCUUCAUACGGGUAGUACAACUUACAUUGUGGUUAGUACUAUACCUUUAUGUAUGUAAGCGUAUUACCGGUGGAGUUCUUAUAUAUAAUUAAGUACUUGUAUUUUUUUAUAUAUUCCUCCUAUUUAAAACCCUGCAUUAGUGCUCUUCAUCGAGUGUUAUUGUGGGCCGGUACAAUUACUUUGAACAAAUUAGAGUGCUUAAAGCAGGCUUCAAAUGCCUGAAUAUUCUGUGCAUGGGAUAAUGAAAUAAGACCUCUGUUCUGCUUUCAUUGGUUUUCAGAUCAAGAGGUAAUGAUUAAUAGAAGCAGUUUGGGGGCAUUAGUAUUACGACGCGAGAGGUGAAAUUCUUGGACCGUCGUAAGACUAACUUAAGCGAAAGCAUUUGCCAAAGAUGUUUUCAUUAAUCAAGAACGAAAGUUAGAGGUUCGAAGGCGAUCAGAUACCGCCCUAGUUCUAACCAUAAACGAUGCCAGCUAGCAAUUGGGUGUAGCUACUUUUAUGGCUCUCUCAGUCGCUUCCCGGGAAACCAAAGCUUUUUGGCUCUGGGGGAAGUAUGGUUGCAAAGCUGAAACUUAAAGGAAUUGACGGAAGGGCACCACCAGGAGUGGAGCCUGCGGCUUAAUUUGACUCAACACGGGAAACAUACCAGGUCCGAACAUAAGUGUGUAAGACAGAUUGAUAGCUCUUUCUCGAAUCUAUGGGUGGUGGUGCAUGGCCGUUCUUAGUUCGUGGAGUGAUUUGUCUGGUUAAUUCCGAUAACGAACGAGACUCAAAUAUAUUAAAUAGAUAUCUUCAGGAUUAUGGUGUUGAAGCUUAUAUAGCCUUCAUUCAUGGUGGCAGUAAAAUGUUUAUUGUGUUUGAAUGUGUUUAUAUAAGUGGAGCCGUACCUGUUGUUUGUCCCAUUAUAAGGACACUAGCUUCUUAAAUGGACAAAUUGCGUCUAGCAAUAAUGAGAUUGAGCAUAACAGGUCUGUGAUGCCCUUAGAUGUCCUGGGCUGCACGCGCGCUACAAUGAAAGUAUCAACGUGUAUUUCCUAGACCGAGAGGUCCGGGUAAACCGCUGAACCACUUUCAUGCUUGGGAUUGUGAACUGAAACUGUUCACAUGAACUUGGAAUUCCCAGUAAGUGUGAGUCAUUAACUCGCAUUGAUUACGUCCCUGCCCUUUGUACACACCGCCCGUCGCUACUACCGAUUGAAUUAUUUAGUGAGGUCUCCGGACGUGAUCACUGUGACGCCUUGCGUGUUACGGUUGUUUCGCAAAAGUUGACCGAACUUGAUUAUUUAGAGGAAGUAAAAGUCGUAACAAGGUUUCCGUAGGUGAACCUGCGGAAG